GUCCAUGCUGGUCCAUGCUGGUCAGAUGCUGGUCAGGCUGGUCGGAUGCUGGUCCAUGCUGGUCGGAUGCUGGUCGGAUGCUGGUCAAGCUAGUCCGAUGCUGGUCGGAUGCUGGUCGGAUGCUGGUCAGAUGCUGGUCGGAUGCUGGUCGGAUGCUGGUCGGAUGCUGGUCAAGCUAGUCCAUGCUGGUCAGAUGCUGUCCAUGCUGGUCGGAUGCUGGUCAAGCUUGUCCAUGCUGGUCGGAUGCUGGUCAGAUGCUGGUCAAGCUAAUCCAUGCUGGUCGGAUGCUGGUCAAGCUAGUCCAUGCUGGUCGGAUGCUGGUCGGAUGCUGGUCAGAUGUCACCCUAUUCCCUUUUGUUUUUCACUCUCAAUUGUUCAUAGACAAGCAAAGAAAUGUGAUAUUCUGAGUCCAUGUUAAAGCAUCAAUCACAUUAGAAUAACUUUUUUUUUAAAGCCUUGAAGAAAACAAUUGUACAUUUUUUGUGUAACUCCCCUUUAAUUGUACAUCUGGCCCUUUAAUUGCGCAUCUAGUGAGUGAGGAACGUGCCAUCUAAUGUGCUGUCUAAUGUGUCGGUCUAGUGAUGGUUCUGUACUGCUGCUACUCAUUUCAAGUUAAAGUUUGCAAAUAACAAAUAAUAGAUACACAUGAUAUACUCACUCAUAAUAUACUUCUUCCAGGUACGCCUACUUUAAAGGAAACAUUUAAUUGAGUAGGUUUUGGGGAAAAUAUUUCUGUCAGCUCACAAGAAGCUUAUCACAUCAACUGGUUACACACGGAGUGAUGGACAAACGUGAACACCACAGAGACAUACAGGGGCAAUAUUGCUGGAAAUGAAUUGGAAGAUAUUGCGUUAUGUUUGGCUUUUUAAGUCAAUGGUGGCUAACCAGGGGUGGGACAAUGUUACCUUGAUUAGAUAGUAGCUGGGAGCUUGCUGUGUCUGAUACUUGUGAGAUUUGAUUAUGACAGCUUAGGGUGGAACAUGUGAAAUGAAUUGUCCAGCUGGUUAUGCUGGCAGACCAGCCUUUAUUGUGCUAGUGACCAGCCUUCAAAAGUACAACAAAGGCUGUUCAUGAAGGCUGGUCACCAGUGAAAGCACAAAGAAGGCUGGUCACCAGCGUAUGCUGGUAUGUGCUGUUUUUUUCAGCAGGGGAGAAUGAUAGCAAAACAUAAAUGCCUUUCUUUCUGUCUGUUUUAAAAUCAACCACAUGCAGUCAAGCUCAUUGAACAAACAGUGAUCUUGUUUUCUCUCUGUUCGUGCUGCUAUUGAUAUUGAGCUGAAUGUUCUCUGACAGUGGUGGUCUGUCUCUGUCUGUCUGUACAGAACAUGGCUACAUCCCAAAUAGUAUCCUAUUCCCUACAUAGUGCACAACUUUAGAGCAGGGCCCAUAAGUCUUUGAUGAAAAUAAGUGCACUAUGAAGGGAAUAAGGUUUAGGACACAAGCCCAUAACACACAGUAGAUGUUACUCUUUAAUGUCCUCCUUCUUGCUUCGUUAACCUCUCUCUCCUUCAGAGAGUUAGACAAAAACAUGAAGUAUGCAUUCCAAAUGGCACCCUAUUCGCUAUAUAAUGCACUAUGUAGGGAAUCGGGUGCUAUUUGGGAUUCAGUCUCUGUUUAUGUCCCUAACAGAUUUCUCUGAAGAGGCUCGCUGUCCCAGUCAGAGAGGAAUAAGAAACAGCAUCCAGAAUGCUAAUGAUCUAACUCAACAAGUGAACAUACGCCUUUAGGUCUGGCUCAUGUAGUCUCCAUCUCCAUGACGAUCAACACGGUUUAGCUUCACAGCUGUAUUCAUACGCUUCGAUGUUCAUCAGACUUCCUUCUGUCUUCUAAGGGAAUCCCACAGUGUCAGACAGUGACAGGCUUUCAUUAUGCAUUCAACUCAACCAUAAGUGAUUUGAAAGUGCAGAUGUUAAGGGUGUAAUUAAUGUAACAUCUUGUAAAUUUAGGGCAGAAGAAGAGGUAGAAAUGAUAUGAUGCUGAGAUUCCUUGUGAAUUUGAAAACAAAAUUGAGAGAGCGAGAGAGAGAUUCAUUCCUCACACUGUAUAACACAAUUGAAAGUUAAAGGCAACGUUCAUGGGUUCACGGAGAUUCACGUUAAAAGCUGUGUCCUUUGUGUCCUAUGUCCUUUACAAGAUGGCGCCGAUAGAGAUGGCAGCUUCGCUUCAAGUCCUUAGGAAACUCAGUUGUCACAGAGCCUGAAGUGGUGGGUGCGGAGUCAAGCGCAGAGAGCAGAGGAUAAUCAGGAAACCGGACAUUAUUACGGCCUCCAAUAUUAACGCCCAAAACAACAGGCGAAUAAUAAAAAAAUGUCCAACCCAACACAGGGCACAAACAGACAGGAACACUACAGGCCACAACCUCGACUAACAGAAAACAAGCCCGCACAAAAACAGGCGGGCCUAACAGGCUUAAAUAGUCCUGAAUCAAAACAAAAUAAGAGACAGGUGCAACCAAUAAGACAUAACAAACAGAAAAGGAAAAGGGGAUCGGUGGCAGCUAGUAGACCGGCGACAACGACCGCCGAGCGCUGCCCAAACAGGCAGGGGAGCCACCUUCGGUGGGAGUCCUGACAGCAGUAUUUAGUUUUUUUGAUGUAUUAUUAUUUCUUACAUUGUUAAACCAGAAAACCUUAAGUGUUAUUACAUAUAGCCGGGAAGAACAAUUGGAUAUCAGAGAGAUGCUACCUUAACAGCACAACCAGGACUACGAUCAGGAGUACGACCUUCCCAAAGCGAAUCCUUUGUCUGCACCUCCCAGGGCAUUUGAACUGAUUCCAGAGGUUGACCCAAAACAACACCGUCGGAGGAGAGGGUGCGGAGCGGUCUUCGAGUGAGGCUUUGGAUGCGCACACACCACCCACAGCUUCUGAGUAUAUUACUCGAUAAUGUACAGUCGAUGAAAUUAGGGCCAGAGUUGCUUUCCAAAGAUAUAUCUGGGAUUGUAACAUACUCUAUUUCACGGAGACAUGGCUAGCUAGGGACAUGCUGUCAGAUUCCGUACAGCCAAUGGGAUUUUCAGUGCUUCAUCUCUCUGGUACAAUCCAAGAUGGCGUAGCAGUCAGACGUCUUGUCGUGUCGUGUCCCUUGUAUAUAUCGUUUUUUUUUAAACAUAUUUUUCUUCGCAUAUCUUUUAAAACAUUUUGCAAAACCUCAACAUCUAAAUACUCUCCUGCAACCCGCCUCACCCAUUGUAGCGUGGAUCUGCUUUUUUUCUAAAGUAUUUAUAUUUACUUUGGAUCCGGAACCCCUCAACUGAAGCUAGCCAGCUAACUACCAGCUAUCAGUCAGCAAACCAUUGCUAGCGGUCAUCAGCUAACCUUUAACUCGGAAAGCUCUCGCCAGUUCGAACAAAGUGACUUUAACCAGAGCAUAACGGACCUAUUAUUUUUAUCCCCAGAUUCCC
ensembl:lncRNA